ensembl:lincRNA
GUGAGAAACCCUCUGUCCCCUGCUAGAACUCUACAGGAGCUGGACAGAGUCCACAGACAGUGUGAGGAAAUGAAGCAGGUCACUGAGCAGUAUCUGCAGGCAUUGAGACACAACCGAGACUCCUCUAGAGGUCAGCUCACUUCAAACAAUGGUGACUUUUUUAUUAUUAUUAAGCAGAUACUUGAAUAGCAGUAAGUAGCGGCUUAGGGGUUAGAACUGUGGCCUCACAGCAAGAAGGUCUGGAAGGUUUGAGUCUCAGCUGGGUCAGUUGGUGUUUCUGUGUGGAGUUUGCAUUUUCUCCCUGUGUUGGCAUUGGGUCUGGUUUCCCCCACAGCUCAAACACAUGUGCUAUAGGGGAAUUGAUGAACUAAAUUAACCGUAGUUUAUGAGUAUGUGUGUGAAUGUGUGUGUAUGGGUGUUUCCCAGUACUGAAUUGCAGCUGCAAGGGCGUCUGCUGUGUAAAACAUGUGCUGGAUACGUUAGGAGUACAUUUAUAGUCCUGGUAAUCAGUCUUCGUGAGUUUCAGUGUGUUUGCAAUCAGUGGUGAUCAAGAACUGGUGUAUGUGAGGUGCAUGAUGGGAAAUGUAGUCCAAAUGAUUACAUUUUGUGUUCAUUUACACAUACUCAGAUCUCAUUUUCAGGCAAGUGAUUGUGAUUAGUGAGGUGAUGUGCUCAAACCAGUGCCUUUAGGACGGACUCAAUAACAAUAAACCACAUUCAAAACUGUUGAUCACCAGUGUGAUUAAUAUUGAGACGUUUUGGCUUUUCUUAAUACGUAAUUAAACAGUAAACGAGUAAACGACUACAGUUUUCCAUUGACUGUUUUUUUGUUGGUCAUCAGAUGUUUGUGUGUCUCAUUAUGAAGACCUUAGGAGGAUGUUUGGAAGUAGGAACUGCCCACAAACUUGGUCGUGGGACCAGCAAAGAAGAUUCAACAUCACUUUAAGGCUUCUAGAGGAGCACCAGGACUACUUAACAGGUCUGGACUCCAGUGGCAAACCUUUGCAAAAUCUAAGCCAGAUGAUUUUUCAUGAUGCAGUAAAGACAAUCUCUAAAGCAGGGCAGUCUGAUGUUGGCCUCAAGUCCACUGCGAUUGUGCAUCUCCAGGUGUCCUCUUGCUGGGGUCACCAGCCCUCCUCUCUCCUGCUGGCCACCCUGCACCUGUCUGGCCUGGGUGUCCCUGUGGAGCUGGAGCAGGGUCAUGUGUAUAGUUUGAUAGGCGGCGUAUCUGAUGACCGACUCGCUCUCAUGCAUUUGGGAUACAAGCACAUGCAAGGUCUGGAUGGGUUCCCCAAAGACCAGAACACAGCAAACGGAUACUACGCCAACAUCGGCAGACAGACCAGCAUCGACCGCGAUAAAGUACAGGACUCUGCGCAAACUCUCGCUGAACAUGUGCAUUUGAGCAAUCACUUUGAGCUCCACAGUCAGACGGGGGAUUCGGGAGACAUUGUGCAGUAUCUGAAAUACCAGGCCGAGAGAGGAGAUCUGGAGUCUCAGGUCUUCUUGAUUUUAUCAUCAUCUCUGUUCGUCUGUAAAUCUAAACGUAAAGCUAAAACCAGAGCUUAA